AAUAAUGGAAACAAACAGCUACUUAGAACAUCAAAAGUGAUUCAUAAUAUAUAAAAACAAGCAUCACAAAUGAAAAGGCAAAACAUUAGUCUCACGUGAGUUGUAAAACUAGAGCAAAGGAAAUCGAACAAAACAAUUCAUACAUCCACGGCACAAGAUCGGGAAGUCGGGAGAUGAGUAAAGUUAGAGUAUGACCUUUUAGUAAUAACUUUCUUUGCUUUUAGCAUGAAGAAACUCAAUUGAUGGGAAACUGGCUAGAAAACUUAAGCUAAAUGUACAAGGAUCUCGAACUAAAAAUCGGAGCUCGGACGACGGCGACGAGAUCAACUCGAUCGGAACAGAAUACCACCAUAACUGACCUCCACCAUGGCAAUCUUCAUGACUAACCUUAAUGGCUUUUGGGAGUGUUUUCUCGGCAGAAUAGAGGUGAGGAGACCGGAUGCUACUGUUUGUGUUCAAGAGUGAAAAGGCAGCAGCGGCUUUAAAGGUUUUUCGGGGUUGUCUUAGUUCAGGGCGUGUAGGAAAAGGGUGAGGGUGUGUCAAGAAGAAGCCAUUGAAACGGCUCUUCUUCUCUGAAGAUGGAGCUCCGCUGGUGGGGGUGUGUGAUGAAGAUGAAAUCGUGAGGGGGGGAUUCUUUUUUCUUAGCCACAGCUUUUAUAGUGUCUCUGCGUUAUUUUUUU
rnacentral:lncRNA from 1 species